CUCUCUCUCUCUCUCUCUCUCUCUCUAUAUAUAUAUAUAUAUAUAUACUUUCCCCAAUUACUCGAAUUGAGUCGCUGUACAUUUCUCUCUUGUUUCAUUUUAACCUUCAAAAAGCAGAAUCACUGUAUCUAUGGAAUCUCUCAUCAUAUGACUCGUGUGGUUCGUCCGUUUCUCUUCCUCCACUGAAGUUGAAGUGGGGGCUUCUUUCAUCUACCCUUUUUAGGGUCAAUCUCUUUUUAUCCUCGACACCGUUUUCUAGGGUUUCAGAAGUCAAAUUGAUGAUAUUUCGUGGACUUCAAACAUCGCGCUAUUCACUUCCUUACAGGAUCUCUAUGGGUUUCGGGUAAACGAGAUUUUCAACACCCAACUUGAAAUCACAAAGAAAAACACGGCAAAUUGUUUUCUGGGUACAGCUCAAAAUUUUUAACCUGUCACUGCCGUUAGAUUCUGGUUUCUUUGCUUCAUCACGAUGGAGGAUGGAGAGAUAGAUUUUUCAAACCAAGAGUGGCAUUGGUCAUGAUGGCAGCGGCAAUGGUACUGGUGGUGGUGGGGUGGUGAAGGUGGGAUCGGCAAUGGUGGUGGCAGCGAUAGCAACAAUGGAGGUAGGGUGGUGGAGGUGCUCGAAAGAGCUCGAACUUUCUCAUCCAACCCUUCUAGGGUUUUUCGAAUGGCCACCGCGCCUCCUUCUUCAUCCUCUAAUGGCGAUUCAUCCUCGGUCCCCGCUUCUUCUGCCAUCGAUUUUCUCUCUCUCUCUGUCACCGUCUCAAGGUUUGAUCAGACGACGAAGAGAACGGGAUGGAUGCGAAGGUGUUGAGAAUCCAGAGUCCAUAGCCGAUCAUAUGUAUCGAAUGGGGUUGAUGGCUCUCAUUGCCUCUGACAGACUUCUCUCUAACAUCUCUAUAUAUGGUACUACGAAUAUGUAUGUAUAGAUGAAGUGUAGAGAUGCAAAGUUGGGAAUAAAUUUGCAGCUCAUGUGUUUCUCCUCUCUAACAGGGCAUGGUUUUAUGGAGCCUAUGAUUAUUAAAGAAUGAAGAAGUUUUCAACAAGAAGCUGAUCCCCUGGAUUGAUUUACUGGAGAUAAUUGGUGUGGUGAUUGCAGUAGGAGAGUGUCUUCCAUUGCCAGAAGAGAACCCCUUGGGAAGAGGAGACUUGGUUUGCCAAAAAACAAAAAAACCGGUGCCAUUUUUAGGAGCAGCAAGGAAAGUGUCACAACAGUGACCCAUUCUCCUCCUGCUAUAUCUACACACAAAAUGAAUCAUUUAUAGUGACUAAAAAUUGGUCAUCAAAGGAUAUCCAGAGUCCAAGUUAGGGUUUCUGUUGCUUUUAGUUUUUUUUGUGUUCCAUCUGGGUUAUUUGUUAUUGUUGCAUUUUCUAAAGAUUUUAACAUUUUUUGCUUCUUUUUUUUUUUUUUUUCCAAACGUCAGGUGUAUAAAAAUGGCAAUUGUCCAUGAUAUUGCAGAAGGUAAUAGCUUUGCAUUUAAAUUUUUAUUUAUCUAUUAGUUCUCAUAUGUAUCCUUUGGUUGAUAAAGUAUGCUUCAUAAAAGAAAAAGGGUUAAUUACACUUUUAUCUCCUUCACUAUCACCAUUGUUUUUUAGUUUGUCCGUAAACUAUCAUGAUUUGAGCUCAUUUGUCCGUAAACUAUCACCAUUUUUUUUCCCUUUUAGGCUGCUUAAAAUUCAGACAUUUUUAUGCUUUUUAUUUAUCAGCAUGAGGCUGUGAGUUGUGGGUUCCUCAACCUUGAGGUUGUGGUUUCGAGGACAACCAUUUAGUGCAAAUAAUGCCAAAGCUAGGUAACCCAAUCUAUCUCCUCCCAGACCCCUAUCCAACGGAGACUAAAUUGGGCUUACUUUUUUUAAAAUUUAUUUAUAACCAUGAAAAAGAUCACUCUUUGUGGAGUCAAUGCAAUGCAUAACAACUUUCAAAAGGUUGCCAGGAAUCUUAAUAGAUGCAGAACAUGGAUGCAUGGUCAAUGAAUGAUGUAGUUCUGCUGGAGUUGGAUGCUUAAUCCAUUUUUGUGUGUGUGUGUGUGUGUUUGGAAAAUGUGAUGGGCAUUUGCUUCUUAUUCAGAUUUAUCAGAUUUCUGCUUUGAGAUUUAGAAUCCUUCAGUCCUAUUUACAGCAGUUGGAUUGUGAAGUACCUGGUCAAUUUUAGUCCCAUUUUAUCUUUAUUCCCUAACGUAGUAAACACAACCAUUACUAGAUUUUGUAAAUUUUACGUGCUCUGUUAUUACUAGGGAGCGAAUGAAAAAGAUUUUACUCUGGUUUUAGUUGUUCCUAGCAAAGUUAUUUCUUAUGAUCUCAACUCCAAGACAUUGAAGGAGCUUCGAGAUUGUUCGCCAGAGGAUCUUGAAAAUUGGGAAGCAUCUUGGUGAUAUGUAUCCAUUCAUUUAAAGCCUAUCACCUGUUUGAUCAAUGUCCUACAUUUUUCAGCAGAUAAGUCCCUCAAUAAACUCUUCUAAAUUUCUAUCUUCUUAAAAGUUUUAGUUAGUUUCCUGGUAUGUGAUGCUACUACUAUUAUCUUUUAAUUUAUAGAUUCUGUUUUAAGCUUGCAUUAGAAAUAAAUUCUUCAUUGAUCAAUUAAGGCUGAAAUACAAUUGAUGUGUAUAGUUCAUUUCACAAUUUACUUCCCUUGCUUCUAGAGGCUAGAGAGCAUCAACUUGAUUAUCACUUUUGAAAGUGCUUUAUGUUAGAGCCCUAUUUUGACCUCUAUUAUACAUUAACUCAAGUAUCACUUAGAUUGUUCUGAUUGCCAAAGAGAUUAUGUUGGACUCAUUCACUCCAUGGUCAGUAGCCAAACUAUAGAGGGAUUGGUGGAAGCCACGAUGCUGCCCAUUUUCUAUCUAAAUCUCUCAUAUACAGAGAAAUUAUCAGUUCAUGUAAAGAUGACGGAGGCAUUGGAAUUUGGUGAGGAGAAUAGUUCUAAAGGCUCUAUGAAUAGAGGGAAUGAAAGGUGAAAGGAGAUUGAUCGAAUGAUCAAACUUUUGGUUUGGGAAAAAGUUCCCCUCUGCUAAACUUUUGACUGGGAUUGUGGUUUGAAGAUUUUUGAAACGGACGCUCCUUGCAUUGUGGUGCCAUAGAUAUCCAUGAAAGGUUAUCAAAUAAAGAACCUUUUUCUUGGUCAAUAAAUCUCUCUUUUCCA